rnacentral:rRNA from 1 species
AUGAUGCAAAAUGGACGUAUCAAUACACAAAUGUAUAACUCCCCGGGAAUUUCAAUUACGCUUAUAUCCAUCACUGUAGGACUUGGGUUUAAGCUUUCCCCAGCCCCUUUUCAUAAAUGGACUCCUGGCAUCUAUGAAGGAGUGUGGUUUGUUCGACAAAUUCCUACCUCUAUAUCUAUCUCUGAGGUGGGUUUUGCAAAACUCCAUAGACAUGCAGAAGAGAAAUGCUAUCCCCACUCUGACCAAGAUAGAACUUUUACCAAAAGUUUAUUGUGA